rnacentral:lncRNA from 1 species
UUUGGAAUAUUAUAUGGUUAACUAGAUUUAUUACUUGAAAGACUGAUUCUUACAUCAGUAAGUGAUUUCCUAUACCUUGAGAAAACUAUGGGAUAAUUGUCAGUGAGGUAUCUUAGAUUUCAUUGACAGCAAGAGAUGCUAAUAAGGAUCUUAUCUGAAAAACAUUUUAGCAGUCUAAAUUUCUUGAUGCUUGUUUGCUAUAACCGAGAAAGCUAAAUAAAUCAGAACAAUAUAG